AUCACACACACCCCCUCCCCCCACCCAAAUCCACUUCCUUUAAAAAAAAGAAAAGUCUUUAAAAACCGAAGUAUUUUUCCUCAAGCUCUCUCUGUGUGUUUGUAACAGGAAAGAUGAAAGAGGUAUGGAAAGAAAAAGAGGGAGAUAAAAGACUUCAUUCACACAGGCCAAACCUACUAAGCCAAUUAAAAGUAUGAAAAGUCAAGGUCUAAAUGGGCUCAGGACAAGGAGCAGGUCUCUUCUGUUUUUAAUAAUUUUUUUCCUUUUGUGGAUUUGUUUUAGUGAAGUUGAAGCUGCCAAAAUUUCACCUGUCCCAGUGGACCAGGCAUAUAAUUAAUGGCUAAUUUGAUAUGUAUGGAUUUCGUUUAAUGGAAUAAAUCAUCAUUUGAUUUUUGCCUCUCCAAUCUCUAGUGAUACAUAUAGUUCAACAUUUUCCUGAGCCACCAUUUCCCUCUACAUAGGACCUGACUUGAUAUUUGAGAAAAGCUCAACUAUGGAAUGAAAAAGCAGGAAUGAAUGGCCUCCAAAUCUUAAUUUUUUUGUCAGUUGCUACUCCUCUUGAUUGAGGGAUACUAGCCUUUGCAUAGCUGUUGUGAAAAAGGAGAUGACCAGAAGAAAUUCACCUUCCGGUGGCAGCUGCCACCAACACACAGAAGCACUCACUCAAGAUGGCUUAAAGGAGACAGUGACUCAAUGUACGACUAGAAAAUUGAGCAAUUCAGGCAAUUGUGAUGCACCUUGAGGUUAAGAACCACUGGGAUAGAGUGCCUACUUGAGACAUUCAUUGUGUACUACUAGUCUCUCCCUUUUUUCAGGUGCUCAUAAAAGAAAAGAAAAAGGCGUCUAGUUGGUGGCCAUUAACAAAAAUGCCAAACGGGGUCAUCACCAAAAGUCAAGAACAAAGAGGACCCAGACGAGGCUUCUGAGAACUAUGGAGUUUUUAAGAAGUAUCCCAGAUGCCACAGUGAAAACGUAAUUCCACCACCCAUCUAUUAUUUGCUUAGGUGUAUAACGACAGGACAUAUUUUCACUGGUUUCUCUUCUGCUGCCUGCUAAAUUAGAAAAAAACAUAUAGUCUUAUAAAUAAGUAAGUAAAGGUACUUAUUAUAGGCACAUACCACUUACCAAGCAGACAAAGGCAAUAAGGCCUUAGAAGAAAGUAUAAGGGAAGGUAGAUGUAUUAACUAUUUAGACCAUGCUCAUCUGUCUCUUGAGAGAAGGCUUCUCUCCUCAAGCUCAAUGGAAGGGUGACUUAAAUCAGAUCCACACACUGUUUUAGAAUAUAAUGAAAUUAGCACAACCCAUCAUGUGCCUCAGGGAAAAAAUUGGUCAGGAGGACACACUGGUCAGCUCUGUGGUAUUGUGGAUACCACAGCACACAAAGUCAGGACAUGCAUUCCUGGAUCAGGGCAUAUUUGAUUCUUUUCUUGGUUCUUUUAAGGGCUUAGUGGAAAUGAUGUCUGUUUUCCAUAAGCUGACCUCAAGUCCACUGAUGCUAAAAUGAUUUAAUAUCUUGCUGUGAAAUUAGCUACUAAAGUCACAAAAUCCUUUGCUCACUGAGCAUGAAAGCAGCAGCCAGAAAUUCACUCUUACAGAGUAAGAACUUACCAUCCUUUACCCAUGUAGUAAAACAUUCCAACCCCCCAAAAUCACUCCAGGGAUUGAGGUUUCAUCUUUUUUCCUUGAAAAAACACCCCCUACCCCUACCCCCACCCCAGUACUCAGAAGAACGUAAACAAAGCCACAGCAAACACAAGUUGCUGAACCAUGCUACUCUCCUAUGGGAAAAAUGCCAGUGUUCUGGGGGCAGGAGGCAGACUUGGACACUGUCUCCCCUCCAGCUCCCCACUUCAAACCAAUCUCAUGUAGCUUCUACCCAGAGGAAGAGAAAACAAAUAGUCACCACCACAGCAACAGAGUGAGGUUUCAUAAAAAACUUUUGAAAAAAAAAAAAAAGACUAUUUUUGGUUGAACAAACACUUGCCACCUUUAUAACCUUGAACAGUAUAGUCUGAGAUUUAACUUUCCAGGUUUCAGGAUCUUAACACUGAAAUUCUGGGAUUGGUUUUUUGUUCCAAGACUCUGAGUCCUAAGAUACUUUAAGUAUACUAACUGUUAACUGUGGUGGAUAUUUUAUUGGAUAAUUUUAUACUUAUCAUAAUUUUUCCCACCCUGUCUCUGCUCCCCUCCCCAUCUUCUCAGCACUCCAAUCCUGUUUUAUGUCUUCCAAUUAGGUGACAAGUAUCCAAACUCUUAUGUGUGAUAUGUCACCAAGACUUUUGUAUUAUAUAAGGUCAUUAUAUGACAGCAGCUGGAGACAAAAGGAUUAAGACUUGCUCUUCAAAAUGUUGCUACAUUUGGCCAACAUCAACAGUACUACUAGUUCACUGAAGAAAAAAAGCUAUUAAAUGUUCCCUGAGCUAUAUGAAAGUUAACAUCUAUCUCUAAAAAAUGUGGAUUAAAUUUUGCUCAAAGCACCCUGGUUAACGAAGAGGCUAUAAAGUCAAGUCCCUACAGAGGCUAAGGCAGAUAAGAUGAACGAAAAAGAUACAUUAUCAGGGGAUUGGUUCAAGAUGGUCGAGUAGAAGGACAUGCUCUCACUCCCUCUUGUGAGAGCAUGGGAAGCAAAACUAACUGCUGAACAAUCAUAGACAGGA